rnacentral:rRNA from 1 species
ACAUGCAAGUCGAGGGGUAGAGUCUUCGGAAUUUGAGACCGGCGCACGGGUGCGUAACGCGUAUGCAAUCUGCCUUCCACAGAGGGAUAGCCCAGAGAAAUUUGGAUUAAUACCUCAUAGCAUUACAGGAUGGCAUCAUCCGGUAAUUAAAGUCACAACGGUGGAAGAUGAGCAUGCGUCCCAUUAGCUAGUUGGUAAGGUAACGGCUUACCAAGGCGACGAUGGGUAGGGGUCCUGAGAGGGAGAUCCCCCACACUGGUACUGAGACACGGACCAGACUCCUACGGGAGGCAGCAGUGAGGAAUAUUGGUCAAUGGGCGCAAGCCUGAACCAGCCAUGCCGCGUGCAGGAUGACGGUCCUAUGGAUUGUAAACUGCUUUUGUACGGGAAGAAACACUGAUUCGUG